GACGAACGCUGGCGGCGUGCUUAACACAUGCAAGUCGAACGGACAGGCCCUGAUUUUGUGGGGUGCUCGUGUGGCGAAGGGGGGAGUAACACGUGAGGAACCUGCCCUUAUCUUUGGGAUAUAUUCAGGGAACAGGGGCGCAUACAGGAGAGGAGCUACUGAAGCACGGGGGGGGUUGGAAAGAUACGGCGGUUGGGGCUGGUAUCGCGGGUUAUCCGCUGGUUGGUCGGGUAGGGGUUUACCAAGGCUUCGACGGGUAGCCGGCCUGGGAGGGUGACCGGCCACAUUGCGCCUGCGAGACGGACCAGACUCCUACGGGCGGCAGCAGUGGGGAGUAUUGCACAAUGGGCGGACGUCUGUGGCAGCAGCGCCGCGUUCGUGAUGACGUCCUUCGGGUUGUAAACCGCUUUCGCCUGUGACGAAGCGGGAGUGACGGUAAUGGGUAAAGAAGCACCGGCUAACUACGUG
rnacentral:rRNA from 1 species